CAAUUCCAAGAGUAUCAUCUGAGCCAGCCUGAACUUCCUCUGCUACUAUUAUUCAAAUAAGGAUUUGAAUAAGCAGAAUUUGCUUCAGUGAGGAAACUGCCUGGGGCAUCAGCCUAGGAGAGGUGUGGACCAUGAGAGUGGGCUGGGGGCGGCCCUCCCUCUCACUCAUAGGGGAGCAAACCAAACAGCUCAGGCUGGAAGUCCUGCAGGGAAUUCAGCACCGGGGUGGCCUUUCUCCUCAAGUCUCAGUUCAAGGUUCUGUCUAGAAUGAAGACCACUUGCAUCCCAGUUGCCAGGGUUGCCUCCACCUCAUUGAGAGCAUCUUCAAACAAGGCACCUCUCCAUAGGAGGACAGGGAGAGAACCUGUUGGCACAAGCUGGGAGGAUGUUGGGGUCUGGCUUGCUGUGCUGUACUUCGGGGUCAUCUCCCUGCAUAAUGUGAGAAAACAGGCUGAAGAACUCCUUGUGUCAGCUCACCUUCAUCUCCAAUGAGGCAGACCCUGAGCUGGUGGCCAUGGCAAAGGGAAUGCUGUGUUUCUGCAGGUGGACGAUGAGAUUCUCAGCCCCUGGCAUGAGCACAGCUGUAGGGAACACUUCCUUUAACUUCGUUUGGCUUUCUUCCACCAGUUCCUCCUUGGACAUCAGGAGCUGCAAGAUGUCUAUUAUAAUCUGUGCUGCCUCUAAUGCCUACUUACCCAUUACCAGGGACUUUACAACCCAGCUGUAUUUCUUUUCAUAGAAAUCACAUAUUUCUUGAAACAGCACUGAAUAUAGCCAUUCAGUAUCCAG
ensembl:lncRNA novel transcript